CUCCCUGAUGUUAGCGGCGGACGGGUGAGUAACACGUAGGUAACCUGCCUGUAAGACUGGGAUAACUCCGGGAAACCGGGGCUAAUACCGGAUGGUUGUUUGAACCGCAUGGUUCAAACAUAAAAGGUGGCUUCGGCUACCACUUACAGAUGGACCCGCGGCGCAUUAGCUAGUUGGUGAGGUAACGGCUCACCAAGGCGACGAUGCGUAGCCGACCUGAGAGGGUGAUCGGCCACACUGGGACUGAGACACGGCCCAGACUCCUACGGGAGGCAGCAGUAGGGAAUCUUCCGCAAUGGACGAAAGUCUGACGGAGCAACGCCGCGUGAGUGAUGAAGGUUUUCGGAUCGUAAAGCUCUGUUGUUAGGGAAGAACAAGUGCCGUUCGAAUAGGGCGGUACCUUGACGGUACCUAACCAGAAAGCCACGGCUAACUACGUGCCAGCAGCCGCGGUAAUACGUAGGUGGCAAGCGUUGUCCGGAAUUAUUGGGCGUAAAGGGCUCGCAGGCGGUUUCUUAAGUCUGAUGUGAAAGCCCCCGGCUCAACCGGGGAGGGUCAUUGGAAACUGGGGAACUUGAGUGCAGAAGAGGAGAGUGGAAUUCCACGUGUAGCGGUGAAAUGCGUAGAGAUGUGGAGGAACACCAGUGGCGAAGGCGACUCUCUGGUCUGCAACUGACGCUGAGGAGCGAAAGCGUGGGGAGCGAACAGGAUUAGAUACCCUGGUAGUCCACGCCGUAAACGAUGAGUGCUAAGUGUUAGGGGGUUUCCGCCCCUUAGUGCUGCAGCUAACGCAUUAAGCACUCCGCCUGGGGAGUACGGUCGCAAGACUGAAACUCAAAGGAAUUGACGGGGGCCCGCACAAGCGGUGGAGCAUGUGUUUAAUUCGAAGCAACGCGAAGAACCUUACCAGGUCUUGACAUCCUCUGACAAUCCUAGAGAUAGGACGUCCCCUUCGGGGGCAGAGUGACAGGUGGUGCAUGGUUGUCGUCAGCUCGUGUCGUGAGAUGUUGGGUUAAGUCCCGCAACGAGCGCAACCCUUGAUCUUAGUUGCCAGCAUUCAGUUGGGCACUCUAAGGUGACUGCCGGUGACAAACCGGAGGAAGGUGGGGAUGACGUCAAAUCAUCAUGCCCCUUAUGACCUGGGCUACACACGUGCUACAAUGGACAGAACAAAGGGCAGCGAAACCGCGAGGUUAAGCCAAUCCCACAAAUCUGUUCUCAGUUCGGAUCGCAGUCUGCAACUCGACUGCGUGAAGCUGGAAUCGCUAGUAAUCGCGGAUCAGCAUGCCGCGGUGAAUACGUUCCCGGGCCUUGUACACACCGCCCGUCACACCACGAGAGUUUGUAACACCCGAAGUCGGUGAGGUAACCUUUUAGGAGCCAGCCGCCGAAGGUGGGACAGAUGAUUGGGGUGAAGUCGUAACAAGGUAGCCGUAUCGGAAGGUGCGGCUG
rnacentral:rRNA from 1 species